CUUUGUUGUACUCUUCCAUCUUGUGCCUGCUGAGUCCCAUCACAGGGUGGCGAGAGGACAUGAGAUCAAACCAGUGGUUCACCUGCUCCAGAAACCAGGCUGUUGUCAGAUUAGAGGAUCUUUUGGGAAGCCAUACAUAUGGAUUCCUUUCUCUGACCGAUUGGUGCAUCCAAAUGCAGCACACCCAACCAUGCAGAUGUGGUGACUGACUUCAAAAGGAGCUGCUGCCAA